rnacentral:miRNA from 1 species
CAAAGUUGAUCGUGUUUAUGACGUCGAAUAUCGACGUCAUAAACACCAAAGUUGAUCGUGUUUAUGACGUCGAAUAUCGACGUCAUAAACAACAAAG